UACGGAGGGUGCAAGCGUUGUCCGGAUUUAUUGGGUUUAAAGGGUGCGUAGGCGGCCGUUUAAGUCCGGGGUGAAAGCCCACUGCUCAACAGUGGAACUGCCCUGGAAACUGGACGGCUUGAGUACAGACGAGGGUGGCGGAAUGGAUGGUGUAGCGGUGAAAUGCAUAGAUACCACCAAGAACCCCGAUUGCGUAGGCAGCUCGCUGUGCCGAAACUGACGCUGAGGCACGAAAGCGUGGGGAGCGAACAGG
rnacentral:rRNA from 1 species